CUGCUCAGCCUGCAGGAGGCAGCUGCCAGCAUGACAUGCCCUGGCUGGGUGUUGGCACUCGUGGUCUCCGCCUGUCUUGGAUUCAGCAUGGCCCAGACAGUCACUCAGUCUCAACGAGAGAUGUCUGUGCAGGAAGGAGAGUCGGUGACCCUGCCCUGUACAUAUCGCACUAGUUAUACAUAUUACGAUUUGCACUGGUACAAACAACUUCCCAGUGGGCAGAUGGUUUUUGUUAUUCUCCAAGAAUCUAACCAGCAAAAUGCAAGACAGAAUCGCUUCUCUGUGAACUUCCAGAAAGCAGCCAAAUCCAUCAGUCUCAGGAUCUCAGACUUACAGCUGGAAGACACCGCAGUGUAUUUCUGUGCUCUGGAAGAAGCCACA